AUCGAACGCUGGCGGCAUGCUUUACACAUGCAAGUCGAACGGUAACAGGCCGCAAGGUGCUGACGAGUGGCGAACGGGUGAGUAAUGCAUCGGAACGUGCCCAGUCGUGGGGGAUAACUACUCGAAAGAGUAGCUAAUACCGCAUACGAUCUAUGGAUGAAAGCGGGGGACCGUAAGGCCUCGCGCGAUUGGAGCGGCCGAUGUCAGAUUAGGUAGUUGGUGGGGUAAAGGCUCACCAAGCCAACGAUCUGUAGCUGGUCUGAGAGGACGACCAGCCACACUGGGACUGAGACACGGCCCAGACUCCUACGGGAGGCAGCAGUGGGGAAUCUUGGACAAUGGGCGCAAGCCUGAUCCAGCAAUGCCGCGUGCAGGAAGAAGGCCUUCGGGUUGUAAACUGCUUUUGUACGGAACGAAACGGCUCUGGUUAAUACCCGGGGCUAAUGACGGUACCGUAAGAAUAAGCACCGGCUAACUACGUG
rnacentral:rRNA from 1 species